AAGGGUGACAGAAAGGUCAGUUAGCUGAUCAGCUGGCUGGUCAUAGCUGACUCAUAUUGGUUACAACUUGUUCUAAAGGUCAACGCUGUCACUGGUGCUCUGAAGUCAUGGUUGAUACUAAGUAUGUGUGAAUGAGGUAAUUGCUUCUAAGAACAGAAAGAUAUAUUAGAAGAGGGCAAGACUAUAGCAUAAAAGCUCAGCUGUCAGCAGGCAGGAUUUGAAUUAGAGAAAGAGAGUUGAUUGGGAGAAGAUGGACAAAUUGGAACUCAGCCAGGGGAGCCAAAGAAGAGCUACUGGAAAGAAGUUUGAAAAGCUACUGCAGAAGGAGAGAGAGAAAAGACAACCGGAGCAGAGCAAAGCUGACUGAUUAGGAGCUGAGCCGCAACAGUGAUUAAAGAAAAAUACCAAAACAGCAAUGGUGAUUUAAAGGGAUACCAACGAAUUUAUAAAUUCUCAUCCACUGGAUAGAAACUCUCCCACCAUAUGCUCAAUAGGCAACCAGGUGGCCUCCAUCUGCUCCCCCUCGUAGAUCUGAGUGGAGACAGAGCAGCCAGGAGGAGCCGACAAGCAGCAGUGGUAGCGGUGGCAGCAGCAGCAGAAAGUGGAGUCUACAAGGACAGAAGGUCAGAGGGGCCCAGUACUAGCCCAAAGCAGGCCUGAGAAAAGGUUUUGUACCAUAACCUGAAGGAAAACAGAUUUGGACCAUUGCUGACAAGGGAAGGCAGAAUGAAUUCCAAAGAAAAAGUAGCCCUCAUAAAGAAUGCCCUGCCAGCCCCCACUCUCCCCUAUAAACCAACAAGGCUCCAGCCAAACACCUCCACCAUUUACAGCUGUGGCAAACACACACAGGAAGAGACACGUCUCUCAAGUAGGCAAAUCUCAAGACUUUUAAGACUUUAUAGAUUAAAACCAACAUCUUCAACUCUACUUCUACAAGCAGAGGCAAGCAGAUCUGGGCAGGGGCCAGGAAGGGAAGACUUGAGGCUGUGUGGCAAGCUUCUCCAUCCUUUUGUUCACAGAAGUCCCUCCAUGGAUGGUCUGAAGGGGCCAAGCUCUGUGGGUGGUUGGCUGGGGCUCCACCCCCCCAGGGAAUUCUAGUGUAAAUUAAUUCUGAACCUUUAAGCCUCACUUAGGCUGAUUUCCUCACCAUGGCAUGGCCCUCCCCUGCACCCAGAGGCAGCAGUGGAGGGAGGUAUUGGCAUUGGCACUCAGGGACACUAUGGCCCAGAUCCUUAGGGGUUCCUCCACUCAACACUGCAAUGCCCAAACCCUAAGUGGCCUGCCACCCAGUGGAAUUUUCACCCUGAAGCCAGGCACCGAGGCGCCUCAUACAAUGCAUGUUAGGAGCCUCAGGAAGAGAUUGUCUGAAGCCAGC